rnacentral:misc_RNA from 1 species
AAGUCGUAACAAGGUUUUCGUAGGUGAACCUGCGGAAGGAUCAUUUUCACUUAAAAUUUAUAAACCAUCGCGAACUGUUAUUCCUUCUUGGAAGAGUGGUGGGGCUUCAUCUGGGUAUUGCGUAGUUACUACUUUACUCUUUGAGUUUAGUGUGUGCUGCGAGAUGACCUCAUUGCCUGGUUACUUAGAGCUGUUUAUCAGUUCUUCUUAACUGGACCUCUUCCCUGAAGCGUUAUCUUCAUUACCCAUUUCACCUCUAACAAACCCUUGUAUUAAUUUGAACUGAUCUGAUCUCAAUUAGCUUGGUAGCACCUUCGGGCGCUCCGCGUUGAGAUUCUAUUAUUUAACUAAAGAACAACUCUUAACAACGGAUAUCUUGGUUCCCG